AGGAGCCUCCAUCAGACCAUGGCUGUCCUGGGGCUGCUCCUCUGCCUGCUGGCUGCUCCCUGCUGUGUCUGGGCCCAGGUGAGGAUGAAGGAGUCAGGACCUGGCCUGGGGAAGCCUACAGAGACCAUGUCCCUCACCUGCACUGUGUCUGGAUUUUCUUUGAACAGCUAUGGUGUGCACUGGAUCCGCCAGCCUCCAGGAAAGGGUCUGGAAUGGAUCGGUGCAAUGUGGAGUGGUGGAAGCACAGAUUAUAAUUCAGCUCUCAAAUCCCGAGUCAGUAUCACCAGGGACACCUCCAAGAGCCAAGUUUUCCUGAAACUGAAUGAUCUGCAGCUUGAGGACACAGCCAUGUAUUACUGUGCCAGAGACACAGUGAAGGAACAUCAGUGUGAGCCCAGACACAAACCUCCCAGAUCAAAGUGCCCGUGUCCAGUAGGGGGCAGUGAAGUUCUGCAGGGCAGCUCAGUGCAGCUGCAGGAGUCAGGAUUUGCCGUCGUGAAGACAUCACAGUCACCAUUCCUGUCCUGCACCAUCACAGAUUCUCUAUCAACGCUAGUUUCUACUGGACCUCGAUACGAUGGCCUCAGAGAAGAGGCUGAGUGA